rnacentral:rRNA from 1 species
AACGAACGCUGGCGGCAUGCCUAACACAUGCAAGUCGAACGAGAUCUUCGGAUCUAGUGGCGCACGGGUGCGUAACACGUGGGAAUCUGCCCUUGGGUUCGGAAUAACUCUCCGAAAGGAGUGCUAAUACCGGAUGAUGUCGAAAGACCAAAGAUUUAUCGCCCAGGGAUGAGCCCGCGUAGGAUUAGCUAGUUGGUGAGGUAAAGGCUCACCAAGGCGACGAUCCUUAGCUGGUCUGAGAGGAUGAUCAGCCACACUGGGACUGAGACACGGCCCAGACUCCUACGGGAGGCAGCAGUGGGGAAUAUUGGACAAUGGGCGAAAGCCUGAUCCAGCAAUGCCGCGUGAGUGAUGAAGGCCUUAGGGUUGUAAAGCUCUUUUACCCGGGAUGAUAAUGACAGUACCGGGAGAAUAAGCCCCGGCUAACUCCGUGCCAGCCGCCGCUGUAAGAC